rnacentral:rRNA from 1 species
CCAGACUCCUACGGGAGGCAGCAGUGGGGAAUAUUGCACAAUGGGGGAAACCCUGAUGCAGCAACGCCGCGUGAGUGAGGAAGUAUUUCGGUAUGUAAAGCUCUAUCAGCAGGGAAUAGAAAAGAAGGUACCUGAAAAAGAAGCCCCGGCUAACUACGUGCCAGCAGCCGCGGUAAUACGGAGGAUGCGAGCGUUAUCCGGAUUUAUUGGGUUUAAAGGGUGCGUAGGCGGACGCUUAAGUCAGCGGUAAAAUGGCGGGGCUCAACCUCGUCGAGCCGUUGAAACUGGGUGCCUUGAGUGGGCGAGAAGUACGCGGAAUGCGUGGUGUAGCGGUGAAAUGCAUAGAUAUCACGCAGAACUCCGAUUGCGAAGGCAGCGCACCGGCGCCCUACUGACGCUCAGGCACGAAAGCGUGGGUAUCGAACAGGAUUAGAUACCCCAGUAGA